rnacentral:sRNA from 1 species
CCACAUCGCACUGCUGCGGGCAAAUGAAGUGAAUGUGCGUGUCGAUCCCGCCAGCCGUACAGAUCAUCCCCUCGCCGGAGAUCACCUCGGUCCCCGUCCCGACCACCAGGUUGGGGUCCACGCCGUUCAUCACGAACGGGUUCCCGGACUUCCCGAUGCCGACGAUCUUGCCGUCGCGGAUGCCGAUGUCGCCCUUGACGAUGCCCCACCAGUCGAGGACGACGACGUUGGUAAUGACCAGGUCGAGGUGCGGGGGGCCGACCAUUUUGGACGACAUGCCCAUGCCGUCCCGG